rnacentral:rRNA from 1 species
GACGAACGCUGGCGGCGUGCUUAACACAUGCAAGUCGAGCGGUAAGGCCCUUUCGGGGGUACACGAGCGGCGAACGGGUGAGUAACACGUGGGUGACCUGCCCUUAGCUCUGGGAUAAGCCUGGGAAACUGGGUCUAAUACCGGAUAUGACUCCAUGACGCAUGUUGUGGGGUGGAAAGCCUUGUGCGGCUAGGGAUGGGCCCGCGGCCUAUCAGCUUGUUGGUGGGGUGAUGGCCUACCAAGGCGACGACGGGUAGCCGGCCUGAGAGGGCGACCGGCCACACUGGGACUGAGACACGGCCCAGACUCCUACGGGAGGCAGCAGUGGGGAAUCUUGCGCAAUUGGCGAAAGCCUGACGCAGCGACGCCGCGUGAGGGAUGACGGCC